UGGGGAAUAUUGCACAAUGGGCGCAAGCCUGAUGCAGCCAUGCCGCGUGUAUGAAGAAGGCCUUCGGGUUGUAAAGUACUUUCAGCGGGGAGGAAGGGAGUAAAGUUAAUACCUUUGCUCAUUGACGUUACCCGCAGAAGAAGCACCGGCUAACUCCGUGCCAGCAGCCGCGGUAAUACGGAGGGUGCAAGCGUUAAUCGGAAUUACUGGGCGUAAAGCGCACGCAGGCGGUUUGUUAAGUCAGAUGUGAAAUCCCCGGGCUCAACCUGGGAACUGCAUCUGAUACUGGCAAGCUUGAGUCUCGUAGAGGGGGGUAGAAUUCCAGGUGUAGCGGUGAAAUGCGUAGAGAUCUGGAGGAAUACCGGUGGCGAAGGCGGCCCCCUGGGCGAAGACUGACGCUCAGGUGCGAAAGCGUGGGGAGCAAACAGG
rnacentral:rRNA from 2 species